rnacentral:rRNA from 1 species
UACGGAGGAUGCGAGCGUUAUCCGGAUUUAUUGGGUUUAAAGGGUGCGUAGGCGGACUGUCAAGUCAGCGGUAAAAUGUCGGGGCUCAACCCCGGCCGGCCGUUGAAACUGGCGUGCUCGAGUUGGAGAGAAGUAUGCGGAAUUCGUGGUGUAGCGGUGAAAUGCAUAGAUAUCACGAAGAACCCCGAUUGCGAAGGCAGCAUACCGGCUCCACACUGACGCUGAGGCACGAAAGCGUGGGUAUCGAACAGG